AGAAGUCUGGGGAAGAGCCGGCGAAGAGCAAAGAGAUAAUACAGUACUCCCAGCUAUAGCAAGCGGCAGUUAUGGAGCAUGCGCAGCAGCAGGGGCGGCCGCAGGUCGCCGUUCAAUAAUACUCAAGGGAUUUGUACAGCCCUGUAGGAGACACCUCCAGAGAAAGUAACAGCUCUCAAUUGAUUAGCUGAGAAUAAACAGAUGCUUUUACAGCUCGCCUUGGCGGGAAGAUCUGGCACAAAUGAAGUAUCUAUAAGGAGCAGCAGAGUCAAGGUGGUGAUCCUGUGGAUGAAUAACUGAAACCUGAUAUACUUGACAGCAGAAAAUAUAAAGCAAAUUGAAAAGGAGAGAGUGUGGAGAUAAAUAAGAAAAUGAAAGAACUGAUAAAGUCACUUGGAUUAAAAAACCUGGGAGUAAGGGCUUUGUUUAUGAUUGAACUUAAGAGAGAAUUGAGGGACCACCUACCUUUGAUGUUAACGAGAAAGUAAAGAGGAAACAUAUUUAGAGAUACCCUUUGGUGAAAAACAGAAAUGGAUGUGUCAUUUGAUGCAUCACAUUAUUUAUUCAACAAACUCUUAGUGAGAACUUACUGUGUAUGAAAGACUGGACUGAAACAUAUAUAAGAAAUAAUUUUUGGCCCAAGGAAUUUAUAGUAUAAUUGAGGAAACAAAUACAAAUCACUUCUGCAAAGUAGCAGAGACACAGAUGAGGAAUUGUAAUGUUUGUAAAAUCAAAGUGGUGGGAGUAGUCAAAAAAGUGUUUACAGAAUGGUAUUCAAAAUGGGCCUGAAGGCAGAAAUCAGACUGGUUGUUACCUGGAAAACAAGGAGAGAAAGGACAAGGCAGGAGAAGAGAACAAGUACAAAGGCAUGUGGGGGUAGGAAGGCAUGGCAUGGGUAGAAAAUGCCAGUUAAAUUGACAUUGUGGGAAAAUAACGAGUUUAGCGUAUGGGGGCAUAGCAAAUAAUGACUCUGGUUUCGGCAAAACCCCAGGGGAAAGAAAAUGAGAUCCUGAACUAUGGCAGUAACAGAGGGGAGUGGGAAAAGAGGAUUAACUAGAGAAAUAUUUAGAAACUAAGAAUCUCAGGAUUUAGUACUUCUUGGGGAAGCCAUCGUGAAUGCUGGCUCUCAAGCUGCAUUAUCAACAAACAAAAAUAUUGAUACCUUAAAGUUAAAGUCCCACCCUCCUUUUAGAGACUGUAAGACAUAGUUCUAUCUUGUCUCACAUCUCUACCUCUGUUAAUCUCCAUUUGGGCCAAGCAUCCUCAACAUGCCUAUUCUCAUAUUCCUCCAAUUACAACCUCCAGGGUCUUCAUGUUGCAGAACUCACGGAGUUGGAUUCUAUGUGAAUUGUAAAUCGGGUACAAGGUGCAUAAUGCCCUAUUUACCUUUUCCUUAGCUUCCAAAUUCUUUUAUCAUGAUCUCCAAAAUGCCACCCAGCAUGUCUAACUCUGCGAUCAACAAAACACCGUAUGACCUCAACCUCUUUCCUGAGGUUUCUUGCAUUAAUGGAAGUUGCCCUGAGCUCUGAUGUCCUUGCUUCUCUUGCAGCCCUCCCACGUCGAAGCGGUUUUUUCCUUCACCUUUUUUUUAAGUAUUUUAAAAUUUAUUUUCAUGCCUUUAACACCUUAUGAAUUUGUGUGAAUCAUUCAAGAUUACAUCUGCCUUCCUUUCAAACUAGCUAUGAGAUAUUUGAUUCACCUUGACAAACUGUUCAUUCUACACAACUGGCAAUCUCCACAGUUCAUUCUCUCAGUUGGGUUGAUUCCAACCUCCUCAGAAAAGGGUAUCAAUGGAAUAAGGGUUUUUAAUUUUUAACUUUUUUUUCUUUUUUUUUGAGACAGAGUCUCACUCUGUCACCCAGACUGGAGUGCAAUGGCUUGAUCUCGGUUUACUGCAACCUCCACCUCCCAGGUUCAAGUGAUUCUCCUGCCUCAGCCUCCCGAGUAGCUGGGAUUACAGGCACCCACCACUAUACCCAGCUAAUUUUUGUAUUUUUAGUAGAGAUGGGGUUUCACCAUGUUGGCCAGGCUGGUCUUGAAUUCCUGACCUCAGGUGAUCCACAUGCCUCAGCCUCCCAAAGUGCUGGGAUUACAGGUGUGAGCCAACACGCCUAGCCCAAUUUUUUAUUUUUUAUUAUACUUUAAGUUCUGGGAUACAUGUGCAGAACGUGCAGGUUUGUUACCUAGGUAUACACAUACCAUUGUGAUUUGCUGCACCCAUCAACCCGUCAUCUACAGUAGCUAUUUCUCCUAAUGCUAGCCCUCCUCUAGUCCCCAAACCCCCAACAGGCCCUGGUGUGUGAUGGUCCCCUCCGUGUCCAUGUGUUCUCAUUGUUCAACUCCCACUUAUGAGUGAGAACAUGCAGUGUUUGGUUUUCUAUUCCUGUGUCAGUUUGUGAGAAUGAUGGUUUCCAGCUUCAUCCAUGUCCUUGCAAAGGACAUGAACUCUUCCUUUGUUAUGGCUGCAUAGUAUUCCAUGGCGUAUAUGUGCCACAUUUUCUUUAUUCAGUCUAUCAUUGAUGGGCAUUUGCCAAGUCUUUGCUAUUGUGAACAGUGCUGCAAUAAACAUACUUGUACAUGUGUGAUAGUA